GCCCGGGACGGGCGCACUCCAGUGACGUCAGACAAGACCAGCGCGGGAUGCGGCGGCAUGGAAUGCACUUCGGGUGAAGCUUUAAAAGUUGGGCCGACUUCAAAUCCCGCCUGAAGGGCAAGAGGUCUGCGGAGUGGAAUGCCUCAAGGGCUACAGGGGGAGGACCAGCAGCCACUGUGGAGUACACAGAUCUGGAGGAGAUGGCCAUGGACUGUGUCAGUUAUGAGGAGGGGGGAGGGGUGUCUUAUAUGGACACGGACCUGCCUGAAAUACUGACGGCACAUGACUUGCCAGCACAGGGGGGUGAUCAGGUAGAGUCACAGGAGGGUUAUGUGGCUGAGGCUGAGGUGGAGGGACCUAGUGUGUCUGGUAGUGUGGGACCACAAAUCCCACCUAUCCAGAUUCCAACUGGCCCCCCCACCCAACCCUCUGCUAUCCCGGAAAUCCUGACUGAAAUAGCUAGGUAUGGUGAGAGCCUAAAUGCUUUUCAGGACAGGAUGCUCCGGGAGGUAAGCCAGAUAGCUGUCCGGCUCACUGAGCACAGAACCAGUGUGGAGCAAGGUGUAGCUCAACUCUGCCAAGGUCUGGCAGAGAUCAGGCAGGGACAAGAUCAACUUGCCUCCUCCUUCAAAGACCUUGCAAAUUCGAUCUUGCAAGGGCUCCAGGCCAUCGCUGUCUCCCUUGCCCACAGUGGCAGAGAGCCAGCCACAUUGGCUCCCUCCCCUCACCCUGCCCAGGAAGAACAUCCCACUGGGCAGGGCCCACGAAGGUUGCGCCGCAGACCAAGCCAAGAAGAACAUCAUCAGGCGGGGGAAAAAAAAAAAAGUGAUGUCUCUCCAGAUGGGCAGCACCCAUGUUUUUCAUGUUGGCUCUAUGUAUUUUUUGUGUUGCCUUGUGUGGCCAGAAUGGCUAACUCCCUCUUAGUGAAAAUAUAGAUUUCAGUUUUCAGAUAUUGUAGCCUGUGAGCUUUUUUUCCUGUACACCAGAGCCAUCUUCCUCUUCCUAGCGUGCUGUGUAUUGUUGUGUUUGUGUGGUGGCUCCUGAAUCUAACUCAGUUCCCCCAAAAUAUAUGUCUGGCUGGGUGUUUACACCAUAUUAUUUUUUUCAUUAAAAAUAUUAUUUUGUCAGAAGAUGGAGUUUCCCUAGUACUGAGUUCUGCUAUGUGAUUUGUGUCAGUGGCAUCUGCUUGCUGCUUGGUCCAUCUUUGCCUGUGAUACUCACCUGUAGCCAUGUUGUUUGGACCACUGUUAAAUUUUUUGCAGUAAUAAAAAAAAUUUAAAAAAAAUUCUGUACUUUAUUAAAGUUAAUGCAUUAUGUUAAUCUUAGCCCAGUAAAGUUUAGCAAGGCAUAUUAGACACUUGGGGAACAAGGGAACAACUCGAAUAAUCAUACAAGCAUUGCAUCUUUCAAAAUGCAACAGGUAUGCCUUGCACAACACUUUA